rnacentral:misc_RNA from 1 species
GAUUCUUGUUAGAAUCUUUGCUUCUGUGUAAGCCCUAGAGUCCGCCAAGUAAUGAUACAAAUUUCCUUUUCAUUUCACGUUAAAGUUUAUUAAGCAGGUUAUAUGUCUCAUUGUUAUUGAAAGAAAUGAGAACGUAGUAUAGUUUUAGGCUUUUUUUGGUGGGGAAUAAGACCAUACACGUGUCACGAAUGGCCUUUGGUUUGAAAAUAUAUUGCAUUGUUUGCCACAAGGAAAUUGACACAUCGUUUAGUUUUUGUGGGACACAGUUAGUUGUGUAGUCAUAAGUAACAUGAGAGUGGAACCACAAAAAUUGUGCAACUUGUUGUGUAAAGGUGGCACCCAUUAGAGCCACAUCCAUAAUCUCCAAGAAUAAUGGUAAAUAUAUUUAAAAUAUAUAGAUCUAUAUGUUCAAGCCACCAUGCAUGUGUUUAAUGUUUAUAAAUUAACGUAUGAAAUUUAUUUUAAAAUGUGAAGAGUAAUUCUACAUGAAUACAAUACGAGAGAUAAUGCAUGUUUAUAAAGCAUAGUGAGAAUACUCUUUGACUGAAUGUAAUUCAAUGUAGCAUAAUCUCAGUGGAAUUAAUGCAAAUAUUAUAUACAAAGAGAGAUAGAUAUAGAUCAUACC